rnacentral:lncRNA from 1 species
AUUAUACGCUAAACCAACAGUAUAUUCAAACAUUGCUCUAUAAUUAUCAUUUAUUAAAUUUGUCAAUGUUUAUUUUAUAGAAUCUGUACAUUACUGGAUUGGAUUGACAGACCUGAAGGAAGGAGAUUGGCGUUGGACUUUCGAUCAGUCACGUGCCACGUACAAGUCAUGGUACAGUGGGUAUGGUGCAAAGGGAACUACAUACAAUUGCGUUGCUUACAGUUAUGGAUCAAGUGGACUCAGACUUUGGUUUGAUCAUACUUGCUUGACAAAGUUUUACUACAUCUGUGAAAGUAACUUUUGUAAGUUCACAUAAUGUUUAAUGAUACAAAUUAUAUAUAUAGAAUAUGUAUAUAAAGAAAAAUGAUUUUAAUUCAAGAAAAUUCAAAAGACAUGUAACUUUUGUAAUUCCACUUACUGUAUUACUACAAUUUUUAUAUAGAGAAGAAAUAUCUUUAAAAAUAGAAAAUCAUAAAGAUGCAUAAAAUAUUAGAAUUAAAUAUCAUUCGAUAAGGUUGAUAGCACACACAAUUCGUCAUUAUUAUACACUUGAGUCAUAUUUUAUCUGCAUGUUGAAAAGGUAUUAUUAUAGAUAACAUGGUUAUGCUUUUGUUUUUACAUUUUCUUUUAGGUUUUUAAAGAUUAGAAAGAAGAGGUAGAGAUACA